rnacentral:rRNA from 1 species
GAUGAACGCUGGCGGCGUGCCUAAUACAUGCAAGUCGAGCGAACGGACGAGAAGCUUGCUUCUCUGAUGUUAGCGGCGGACGGGUGAGUAACACGUGGAUAACCUACCUAUAAGACUGGGAUAACUUCGGGAAACCGGAGCUAAUACCGGAUAAUAUUUUGAACCGCAUGGUUCAAAAGUGAAAGACGGUCUUGCUGUCACUUAUAGAUGGAUCCGCGCUGCAUUAGCUAGUUGGUAAGGUAACGGCUUACCAAGGCAACGAUGCAUAGCCGACCUGAGAGGGUGAUCGGCCACACUGGAACUGAGACACGGUCCAGACUCCUACGGGAGGCAGCAGUAGGGAAUCUUCCGCAAUGGGCGAAAGCCUGACGGAGCAACGCCGCGUGAGUGAUGAAGGUCUUCGGAUCGUAAAACUCUGUUAUUAGGGAAGGACAUAUGUGUAAGUAACUGUGCACAUCUUGACGGUACCUAAUCAGAAAGCCACGGCUAACUACGUGCCAGCAGCCGCGGUAAUACGUAGGUGGCAAGCGUUAUCCGGAAUUAUUGGGCGUAAAGCGCGCGUAGGCGGUUUUUUAAGUCUGAUGUGAAAGCCCACGGCUCAACCGUGGAGGGUCAUUGGAAACUGGAAAACUUGAGUGCAGAAGAGGAAAGUGGAAUUCCAUGUGUAGCGGUGAAAUGCGCAGAGAUAUGGAGGAACACCAGUGGCGAAGGCGACUUUCUGGUCUGUAACUGACGCUGAUGUGCGAAAGCGUGGGGAUCAAACAGGAUUAGAUACCCUGGUAGUCCACGCCGUAAACGAUGAGUGCUAAGUGUUAGGGGGUUUCCGCCCCUUAGUGCUGCAGCUAACGCAUUAAGCACUCCGCCUGGGGAGUACGACCGCAAGGUUGAAACUCAAAGGAAUUGACGGGGACCCGCACAAGCGGUGGAGCAUGUGGUUUAAUUCGAAGCAACGCGAAGAACCUUACCAAAUCUUGACAUCCUUUGACAACUCUAGAGAUAGAGCUUUCCCCUUCGGGGGACAAAGUGACAGGUGGUGCAUGGUUGUCGUCAGCUCGUGUCGUGAGAUGUUGGGUUAAGUCCCGCAACGAGCGCAACCCUUAAGCUUAGUUGCCAUCAUUAAGUUGGGCACUCUAAGUUGACUGCCGGUGACAAACCGGAGGAAGGUGGGGAUGACGUCAAAUCAUCAUGCCCCUUAUGAUUUGGGCUACACACGUGCUACAAUGGACAAUACAAAGGGCAGCGAAACCGCGAGGUCAAGCAAAUCCCAUAAAGUUGUUCUCAGUUCGGAUUGUAGUCUGCAACUCGACUACAUGAAGCUGGAAUCGCUAGUAAUCGUAGAUCAGCAUGCUACGGUGAAUACGUUCCCGGGUCU